rnacentral:rRNA from 1 species
AGAGUUUGAUCAUGGCUCAGAUUGAACGCUGGCGGCAUGCCUUACACAUGCAAGUCGAACGGCAGCACGGGAGCAAUCCUGGUGGCGAGUGGCGAACGGGUGAGUAAUAUAUCGGAACGUGCCCAGUCGUGGGGGAUAACGCAGCGAAAGCUGUGCUAAUACCGCAUACGAUCUCUGGAUGAAAGCGGGGGACCGUAAGGCCUCGCGCGAUUGGAGCGGCCGAUAUCAGAUUAGCUAGUUGGUGGGGUAAAAGCCCACCAAGGCGACGAUCUGUAGCUGGUCUGAGAGGACGACCAGCCACACUGGAACUGAGACACGGUCCAGACUCCUACGGGAGGCAGCAGUGGGGAAUUUUGGACAAUGGGCGCAAGCCUGAUCCAGCAAUGCCGCGUGCAGGAUGAAGGCCUUCGGGUUGUAAACUGCUUUUGUACGGAACGAAACGGCUCUUUCUAAUAAAGGGGGCUAAUGACGGUACCGUAAGAAUAAGCACCGGCUAACUACGUGCCAGCAGCCGCGGUAAUACGUAGGGUGCGAGCGUUAAUCGGACUUACUGGGCGUAAAGCGUGCGCAGGCGGUAAUGUAAGACAGAUGUGAAAUCCCCGGGCUUAACCUGGGACCUGCAUUUGUGACUGCAUUGCUGGAGUGCGGCAGAGGGGGAUGGAAUUCCGCGUAGCAGUGAAAUGUGUAGAUAUGCGGAGGAACACCGAUGGCGAAGGCAAUCCCUGGGCCUGCACUGACGCUCAUGCACGAAAGCGUGGGGAGCAAACAGGAUUAGAUACCCUAGUAGUCC